UUCAGCUCAUAAAGUGUGGUGGCGUCAUAGUGUGUGCGUUGGGUUACUCUCAACUGGUCAAAUUUUUCUUUUAAGUAAAGAAAAAAGUUUUAAAUUGUACUAGUGUUCAUUACAAAUCGACGGCAAUAUAACCAGAGCUUAAGAAAAAAAGCAUGAGAGUGACAUCAUGUUCUGUAUCAUUAGAAGCAAGGAGGAAGCAAUUGUUUAUUCGUUAGCCAGGGCCUUACAAGACUUGGUUUAAAUUUCAACGGUCCAGGGCUUGUAAGCAUGGGGUUUGUUCUUUAGUUAGCCAGGGUUUUGACGAACUUUGGUUUAUCAUUGAACAAGCCCAAGGUUUGCAAGCAUUGGAUAGUUUUAAUUUGGUAGCCAGGAUCUUGUAAGGCAUUGGUUUAGGGUGGAACAUGGUUAACACUGCUCGAUGCAGUUUUAUCCGUUAGCCAGGGUCUUACAAGAUUUGGUUUAAAUUUCAACGGUCCAGUGCUUGUAAGCAUGGGAGUGUUCUCUAGUUAGCCAGGGUUCUGACGAACUUUGGCAAGCAUUGGAUAGUUUUAAUUUUGUAGCCAGGAUCUUGUGUGGCAUUGGUUUUUCAAUGGAACGUGGCCAGGUCUGACACCAGCUAUUUGAACAGCUAAGUGGUAUCUUUCUGUCAUUGUAUUAUAUUUCAAAUAACACUUAUUUUACUGUAGAUAUCAUUAUCCUGAGGAGCCAAUGUUUGGCGAAGUAAUCUUCAUGUGCAGACACCAGAAGGAUAGUGGCUUAAUUUUUUAGUUUAUUGUUGAACAAAAGCAUUGCGAUUAAAUCUUUAUUAAUUCAUUUUCUUUUUUUGUUAUAGUUGUUAGCCAGGUUAUAUUUAAAUUAUAUUAAAGAGAUCCAUGUUUCUUCCAGUCUGGCCGUGUGGGCUUUGGACAAUAACGGCUGCGUCUACGUCAGACAAGAUGUAACACGCCAGCUACCCAUCGGCACGGAAUGGAACAAAGGUGUCGAGGCUACUCAGCUAGCGGUCAGUUGGAAAGCCAUCUGGGUUUUGACGAACGGGGAGGUUUACCAAUUAACGACAUCAUCCCCCUUGAAAAGCGACGAAGGACAACACUAUGAAGUUCUACAGUUAGAUGAAGACUGGGUCUUACUUUAAUGCAUAAAAAACUACCGAGUGACCAUUUAAGAUUGCAAUACAAAUGAAGAGUUAAA
rnacentral:lncRNA from 1 species